rnacentral:rRNA from 1 species
GAUGAACGCUGACAGAAUGCUUAACACAUGCAAGUCAACUUGAACUUCGGUUUGGGUGGCGGACGGGUGAGUAACGCGUACAGAACUUGCCUCACAGAUAGGGACAACAUUUGGAAACGAAUGCUAAUACCUGAUAUUAUGAUUUUAGGGCAUCCUAGGAUUAUGAAAGCUAUAUGCGCUGUGAGAGAGCUUUGCGUCCCAUUAGCUAGUUGGAGAGGUAACGGCUCACCAAGGCGAUGAUGGGUAGCCGGCCUGAGAGGGUGAUCGGCCACAAGGGGACUGAGACACGGCCCUUACUCCUACGGGAGGCAGCAGUGGGGAAUAUUGGACAAUGGACCAAGAGUCUGAUCCAGCAAUUCUGUGUGCACGAUGAAGUUUUUCGGAAUGUAAAGUGCUUUCAGUUGGGAAGAAAAAAAUGACGGUACCAACAGAAGAAGUGACGGCUAAAUACGUG